rnacentral:rRNA from 1 species
AUUGAACGCUGGCGGCAUGCCUUAAACAUGCAAGUCGAACGUGAAAGGGGGGCAACCCCCGCGUAGAGUGGCGGACGGGUGAGUAAUACAUCGGCACGUGCCCAGUAGUGGGGGACAACCUCGAGAAAUCGAGGCUAAUACAGAACACGACCCACGGGUCAAAGAGGGGGCUCGAAAGGCCUCGAGCUAUUUGAGCGGCCGAUGUCCGAUAAGCUAGUGGGUGUGGUAAAAGCCCACCAAGGCAACGAUCGGUAGCUGGUCUGAGAGGACGACCAGCCACACUGGGACUGAGACACGGCCCAGACGCCUACGGGAGGCAGCAGUGGGGAAUUUUGAACAAUGGGUGCAACCCUGAUCCAGCCAUGCCGCAUGCGGGAAGAAGGCCUUCGGGUUGUAAACCGCUUUCGGCCGUAACGAAAUCGCCAGGGAGAACAUCCCCGGUGGAUGACGGUACCGGAAGAAGAAGCACCGGCUAACUACGCGCCAGCCACCGCGGUAACAC